AAAGCCCUUAAAUCAUGAAGAAAGAAGAUUUUUGUGAAUUAGUUUUCGAGACACUCUCUCUUUUAUUUUCAGCCUCCUGCAGGACAAAUUCCAUUGCAAGUGACUCUCCUAUCCCUUCAGGGACUAGAAGAGUUCUGUACAUUUUAGUGUAAGCAAAAGCAAGGAAGUUUGGAAAGAGAAAGAAGUCAGGUCAUACCUUCUAUGAUAUAUUUGGCCUCCGGCAACAGAAAACACUAUUAAACAUGAACUAAGCAAUGAAGGCAUCUUAUCAUCUCACCGAAUGAGAAGUCUGAAGGAAUGCAGACCAGAGCUGGAUGAGCAGCUCAGUGAUGGCAUCAAGAAGUUCGGCUCUUUCUGUCUUGCCUUGUCCACCAUCUUCCAUGUGUUGAUUUUGCAUCUUUGUGCUUGAGGCCUCAUGACUACAAAAUGGUUGCUCCAGCUUCCAACAUUGCAACAGAAUUCCAAAACAGGAAGCGGUGGAGGAGAGGCAACAACUAACGAUUAAAGAACUUUUCCUCAGAUGCCUGCCCAUAAAAGUAAGUUUUGCAAAAGAUUCUGUCCCACAUUUCUGCAUAGCUCCUUGACCAGAGCUGGGUCACAUGACUGCCUCUAGCUGCAAGGAUGGUCAGAUAGGCAGGGAUCUCCCUUUUCAGGUUCUCUGGAGGAAGUAACUCAAGGAAGAAAGUGACUGGAGUGGUGAUGUUUUAGCCAUAUGUAUUACACCUGACCAGUCAACCAUAAGUAUUCUAACUCUUUACCCUCAAAGGCUCUUACAUCACAAAAAUUCUGAAUUUCACUCUAUUCAAAGUCCUUACAGGAUCAAAAGGUAGAAGAUGGGGACACCUGGGUGGUUCAGUGGUUGAGCGUCUGCCUUUGGCUCAGGGCAUGAAUUUGAGUCCCGGGAUCGAGUCCCACGUCGGGCUCCCUGCAGGGAACCUGCUUCUCCCUCUGCCUGUGUCUCUCCCUCUCUCUCUCUCUCUGUCUCUCAUGAAUGAAU
rnacentral:lncRNA from 1 species